GAUGAACGCUAGCGAUAGGCUUAACACAUGCAAGUCGAGGGGCAGCACAAGGUAGCUUGCUCUCUGGGUGGCGACCGGCGCACGGGUGCGUAACGCGUAUGCAACUUGCCCUAUACAGGAGGAUAACCCGUCGAAAGACGGACUAAUACUGCGUAUGCUCACAACUUGGCAUCAAGUGGUGAGGAAAGAAAUUCGGUAUAGGAUAGGCAUGCGUCCCAUUAGCUUGUUGGUGAGGUAACGGCUCACCAAGGCAACGAUGGGUAGGGGAACUGAGAGGUUUAACCCCCAACCUGGUACUGGGGCCAGGAACAGACGCCUACGGGAGGCAGCAGUGAGGAAUAUUGGUCAAUGGGCGCGAGCCUGAACCAGCCAAGUUGCGUGAAGGAAGACUGGCUUAUGGAUUGUAAACUUCUUUUAUACGGGAAUAACAAGAGUCACGUGUGACUCCCUGCAUGUACCGUAUGAAUAAGCAUCGGCUAACUCCGUG
rnacentral:rRNA from 1 species